UCUACGGGAGGCUGCAGUGGGGAAUAUUGCACAAUGGGGGAAACCCUGAUGCAGCGACGCCGCGUGAGCGAUGCAGUAUUUCGGUAUGUAAAGCUCUAUCAGCAGGGAAGAAAAUGACGGUACCUGACUACGACGCCCCGGCUACCUCCGUCCCAGCAGCCGCGGUACUACGUAGGGGGAAAGCGUUAUCCGGAUUUACUGGGGGUAAAGGGAGCGUAGACGGUCCUGCAAGACAGAUGUGAAAGCCCGGGGCUCAACCCCGGGAGUGUAUUUGGAACUGUAAGGCUAGAGUGUCGGAGAGGCAGGCGGAAUUCCUAGUGUAGCGGUGAAAUGCGUAGAUAUUAGGAGGAACACCAGUGGCGAAGGCGGCCUGCUGGACGAUGACUGACGUUGAGGCUCGAAAGCGUGGGGAGCAAACAGGAUUAGAUACCCGUGUAGUC
rnacentral:rRNA from 1 species